rnacentral:tRNA from 1 species
AUGUCUGUAGCUUAGUGGAUAAAUCACCUGUUUUCUAAGCAGGAAGUAAUUGGUUCGACCCUGUCUAGCGCG